rnacentral:tRNA from 1 species
GGGCUUAUAACUCAGUGGUAGAGUGGUACAGCGUCCGGUUAUGGAGUGCCGGCUGAUAUGUCACAGGUUCGAUUCCUGUUAAGCCCUA